rnacentral:rRNA from 1 species
UACAGAGGUCCCAAGCGUUGUUCGGAUCACUGGGCGUAAAGGGUGUGUAGGUGGCUUGGUAAGUUCGAUGUGAAAUCUCCGGGCUUAACCCGGAAAUGGCAUUGAAUACUAUUGAGCUGGAGGUUUGGAGGGGGGACUGGAAUUCUCGGUGUAGCAGUGAAAUGCGUAGAUAUCGAGAGGAACACCAGUGGCGAAGGCGAGUCCCUGGACAACACCUGACACUGAGGCACGAAAGCUAGGGGAGCAAACAGG